rnacentral:lncRNA from 1 species
GGCGCGAAAGUGCAGGACGCCCCCCCUCACAGAACCACCAUAGUUCCGACCCAGAGGUGGGCGGGGCCAGGACGAGCCCCAGCCGGGGCCUGCGGGUUGGCACCAGGCUGCCUCAGGAGGACCCCGCGGACCCUAACGUGGCGACGACCACCACAUUUCUGGCGCUGCUAUAAUAUAUGGCACCGGCGGGCGGCUGCGGGGCCGGGCGGAGGACAGGAUCGCGAGGUCGCGAAGAGCCGCGCUGGAGGGAGCAGCGGAUGGAUACCAAACCGUCCCUUGUUGCCGGGGACCCUCAGAUCAUGUUACCUGAGCAUCCUCAGAUGAACCAAGCAUGCAAUCAGAGGGAGAAUGUAAGUGUUUUGAAUUAGGACCAGGGCUGAAUUAAGAAGUGGACACUGGAUGGCAGGAUCCAGUCAGAUCAUGCCUCUCAGCAUCACCUCAUUGUAAGAUCCAAAGCCAUCAGGAUAUACCCUUAAUACCCAAUGCUUAUGAAAACCUGACCCAGCCCCCAUCUCAGGGAGACAUUAUUUUGGGAAGUAUCCCUGGUGGUCUCAUUACUUCGUUACAAGUAAUAAAUCCCCUUACUAAAUCCUUGCUGUGAUCAUGGGGUUGAUGUCAAACGACUGAACCCACCCACUGUGUUGGUUGGUAACAAUAGCAGGAGUAGGAACAGAAUACACUCACCAUCCUGAUGAAUUCUAUUCCCAUUGCCUUUCUUUACCUGUGCUUCAGUCUCUGAGAAAUAUUUUAGGGCUCAUCUCACCAAUACAGCCACCAAUCCCCUUUACUGUUUUAUAAUUAUGUCCAAAAUCACAUUUGCACAAGCUUCUGUGGUAAUUCUGCAGGUGCUAGGAUCUUUAUUCCAAGAUAUUUACUGACAGAGGAAUGGUUCUACCAAAAGCUGACAAAUUUUACUGUGUGAGACUUUAAAAUGUGUGUUGGACAAUUUGUUGUCAGUACUCUUAGAAAACAUGGUCUUGUAUUGGUUAGUAUGUAUUGAAGUGAUAAAGGCCCUACUUUAAGCUUUUCAUAUGUUAGCUUUGUAUGGGUAUGUAUCAAAUAGAUUAUUAUUUUUAAAACCUUUGAGCAAAUAAAAGAUUGAAAUAAGAUACUCUGACUGCUAAGCACUAUUUAUUUCCUCCUAUAAUUGAUUCUAGUUCAAUAAAUUGCAACAGUCAUCUUUCUACUCCUCAGUGCCUACACUAGCACCUGUGUAACCCUGACUUACCACUGAAAUCUAAAUGUCAGAGCCAAAUAAUCCAUAAGCAUUAAGUCCAUGAUACAGAUGCAACUGUGCUCACUCAUCAUACUCACUGUUUUCUUCCAAAUCCCACCCACCACCCCCAAGCAUGCUCAUGAACUUGCACACCAGCCUAUCACUUGCCUGUUCUCCUCUUGUCUGUCUCAAUCACCAUGGUCAUGGACUUGUUUUUGCCUAUUUAGUUUUACUUGCCUCUAUACUGUCCUUUAUGGGCCUCAAGCAAAGCUUCCUUCUGAGACUUCUCUUUUGGUCGAGGCUGAGCCAAACCCUGUGUUUUCUUAUAAUGUAUCCCCUUCUUCUAUCUCAAAGUUUCAAAGGUUGUACACAGAAAUUAAAGUCCCCUGUAGUCAGGAAUAACUAGGCUGAGGUUGGUCUGGUGAACUAUAUGGUGAAAUUGGCCCAACAGAUGUCUAUUUUCAGUGUAGCCUGAAAAUGCUAUGGGAAAGAUCUCAGCCUGUCUCUACUUCUUGAGACAGGGUACAUUUGCAGAACUGGUGGGGAGGCCUGGCCCAAGAAUAUUUUCAGGUCAUAUUUGGGGUGGGGUCUACUUCAAGAGAAUUAAUCUUGAAGAAAAACCAAGUCACGCACAAGGACCCUAGCCCAUGAACAAUGCCUUGCCAUUAGGGAAGUAUAGAUAUUCUAAUAGCAACACUGAAAUUAUUAUAGAACUCCUAUUUGUGCCUAUUCCAACACAAACCCUCAACUGUAUAUCUGUCAUAGCAAAGGCAGGUUUAU